rnacentral:ncRNA from 1 species
GGACCUGGGGAAUCCGACUUUAUAAUUAAAACAAAAGCAUGGGGAUGGCCCUAGCGGGUGUUGACACAAUGUGAUUUCUGCCCAGUGCUCUGAUGUCAAAGUGAAGAAAUUCAAGUAAGCGCGGGUCAACGGCGGGAGUAACUAUGACUCUCUCUUUCAUUGACAGGGCAGAGCUCGAGGGAAAGGAAACCACUCUC